CUUCAGUUUUGACAAGGAAGCGCUUGCAGACUCGAUAUUGAAGUGGGCAAACAGCCUCAGACAUCAAAUUUAUCUAAGGAAUGACAACUAUCAUUGAAUCAAAGUGAACGGUCAAAUGAGGCGAACAUCAAUGUGAGGAUUUCUUAGUUCAUCAUGCCUGUUAAUCCAAGCUCGAACGACGAGACCUCCAUGAAUCAGCCUCAGCCCAAACGAAUCACGAUUGUCAUGGAUGAUUCAAUUGGACCCGGAGAUGAUUUCGAUGCGAUAGGUCACCUUUCUCAAUACUCAAGACAAAGGCCUGGACCAGUGAAAUAUCAAGCGAGACUUCAUCCAACGGCUAUUUUGAUUUGGAGUUCGGGCCUUAUUUUUUGUGGUGUGUGCACAAUCAUUAUUCAGGCUGUUAUGUUGAUCCUUGAUCAUGAAGACUUUGAUAUCCAACUUUCCACAGGGAUAUGGUCUGGAGUGGUUUGUAUAAUAGCCUCUAUUUUUGGGCUUUGUUCGCUAAAACACGCAUCAAAAGGCCAUGUAAGAAUUUUAUAAAUUUUAAAAAAGCUUAGCAUAUCGUACCCGCAUGUAAAACGUUCUCAAAUUUGCAUGGAUCAUCCAUCAGCUCACUGUUCGACAAAACCAAAAGACAGGAAGUUCAGAAAUAGGGACUGUGAACGAGCUUCCCGCCAAAUCGGCUUGCUCUUGGUCAUAGCAACUGUGGGCCACUUUUCGAACUGAAUUUAAAAAAUAAGAACGUAGAUCUCCCAAUUAAAGGUAAAAAAGCCUUUGGGUUAUGGUAGUUUUCGCUGUACUUGCAUUUGCCGUCAACAUAACAGCCAUUGGAUUCAGCGUUUUUACCAUUAAAGAUAUUUGCAAAGGGCCUCCAGAUUUUACCAAUCAGCAAUGUCGUGUCUUGCUCACUUGAGCGUAGUAGACACGAUUUUCUUUGUAAUUGGUGGAUUAUGCUCGUUUGCCAUGGUCGUUUUAUCAAGUCAAGGAAUUUGCUGUUUUUGAAAUG